GGCUGGGUUGAAAAAUGGCUACAGUGGAAUGGACAUGAUGUCCUACAGCAGUGAACAGGGAGAUCCAAGCAAUACAUCAGAAAGCGGACCAGGGAUUGCAUGGUGGAGAAAUUGAGGCCACAACUGAUGAAGUCAUUUGCUUUCAAAUCAGACUGCAGUCAGUGAUGGUACACAUUAUCUUCUGAAAAAAUGGACACAUGAUUCAUUCUGUAAAAGGGAACAGGAUGCAGCCCACCAACUAUCGUUAGGAGAUGACCAGAAGCAAGACCUUGGAGAUGGUAUAACUUGGGACUGAAAAAGAGACUGGAACAUGAAAGACAACAUGUAACUGGUAACAGA